CAGGCCAGCUGACCAGCGAUGCCGCGUGAGGGAUGAAGGCUUCGGGUUGUAAACCUCUUUCAGUAGGGAAGAAGCGAAAGUGACGGUACCUAAAGAAGAAGCACCGGCUAACUAUGUGCCAGCAGCCGCGGUAAUACAUAGGGUGCAAGCGUUGUCCGGAAUUAUUGGGCGUAAAGAGCUCGUAGGUUGUUUGACACGUCGAUUGUGAAAAUCUGAGGCUCAACCUCAGACCUGCAGUCGAUACGGUCAAACUAGAGUGUGGUAGGGGAGACUGGAAUUCCUGGUGUAGCGGUGGAAUGCGCAGAUAUCAGGAGGAACACCAAUGGCGAAGGCAGGUCUCUGGGCCAUAACUGACACUGAUGAGCGAAAGCGCGGGGAGCGAACAGGAUUAGAUACCCUGGUAGUCCGCGCCGUAAACGGUGGGCACUAGCUGUGGGUCCCUUCCACGUGAUCCGCGACGCAGCAAACGCAUUAAGUGCCCCGCCUGGGGAGUACGAUCGCAAGAUUAAGACUCAAAGGAAUUGACGGGGCCCCGCACAAGCAGCGGAGCAUGCGGCUUAAUUCGACGCAACGCGAAAGAACUUAACAGGCUUGACAUAUAGCGAAAAGUGGCAGAGAUGUCAUGUCCGGCAAGG
rnacentral:rRNA from 1 species